rnacentral:rRNA from 1 species
CCUACGGGAGGCAGCAGUGGGGAAUAUUGCACAAUGGGGGAAACCCUGAUGCAGCGACGCCGCGUGAGUGAAGAAGUAAUUCGUUAUGUAAAGCUCUAUCAGCAGGGAAGAAAAUGACGGUACCUGACUAAGAAGCCCCGGCUAACUACGUGCCAGCAGCCGCGGUAAUACGUAGGGGGCAAGCGUUAUCCGGAUUUACUGGGUGUAAAGGGAGCGUAGACGGCAGUGCAAGUCUGGAGUGAAAGGCGGGGGCUCAACCCCCGGACUGCUCUGGAAACUGUACGGCUGGAGUGCAGGAGAGGUAAGUGGAAUUCCUAGUGUAGCGGUGAAAUGCGUAGAUAUUAGGAGGAACACCAGUGGCGAAGGCGGCUUACUGGACUGUAACUGACGUUGAGGCGCGAAAGCGUGGGGAGCAAACAGGAUUAGAGACCCGGGUAGUC